GUACUGUGCAAACGUUAUUCGGGAAUCACUGGGCUUAAAGGGUGCGUAGGCGGCUUAGCAAGUAGGAUGUGAAAUCUUCCGGGCUCAACCGGGAAAACUGCGUUCUAAACUGCUUGACUUGAGUGAGAUAGGGGUGUGCGGAACUUCCAGUGGAGCGGUGAAAUGUGUUGAUAUUGGAAGGAACGCCGUUAGCGAAAGCAGCACACUGGGUCUCAACUGACGCUGAGGCACGAAAGCCAGGGUAGCGAACGGGAUUAGAUACCCCGGUAGUCCUGGCUGUAAACGUUGAGCACUAGUCGGGAGGGACUUCGGUCCAUCCGGACGCAGAGAAAUCGAUAAGUGCUCCGCCUGGGGAGUAUGGUCGCAAAGGCUGA
rnacentral:rRNA from 1 species